rnacentral:misc_RNA from 1 species
AUGUUAUAUUAUUGAACUCCUGAUUGGUUGUAUCCAAUACAAUAUUUAUUUAUAAAACUUUAUUCUCAUAUUCAUUCUAAACUUCCUAUUUUCUGUAACUAACCACUAACUACUUCCCACAGCUCUCAAACUCCUUAUUCAUAGCAAGAGUAUGUGGCCUAGUUUCCUAUGCCAGUUCAGAUUCCUGCUAUAUUUAAGGGAAUACAGCUCUAACUCAAUGUCAUGUUACCUCCAAAAUUCAUAAUUUAUGGGAAGAAAAGAAUAAUUCAACCAUAGAUCCUGAGAUUUCAGUAAGAUGGCUUAAACUAGUCUACAUUAUAGGAGCAAGAUCCCUACACAAGAAGAAAGUAUGAAUGAGCUGCAUAAAAUAAAAGCAUUUAUACUAGUAACCUGAGGGAUUAUCAACUUUCG